GUAAGGAAUAUUGGACAAUGGACGCAAGUCUGAUCCAGCCAUGCCGCGUGAAGGAUUAAGGUCCUCUGGACUGUAAACUUCUUUUAUAAGGGACGAAAAAACGCUUUUCUAAGUCGUCUGACGGUACCUUAUGAAUAAGCACCGGCUAACUCCGUGCCAGCAGCCGCGGUAAUACGGAGGGUGCAAGCGUUAUCCGGAUUCACUGGGUUUAAAGGGUGCGUAGGCGGGCAGGUAAGUCAGUGGUGAAAUCCUAGAGCUUAACUCUAGAACUGCCAUUGAUACUAUCUGUCUUGAAUAUUGUGGAGGUAAGCGGAAUAUGUCAUGUAGCGGUGAAAUGCUUAGAUAUGACAUAGAACACCUAUUGCGAAGGCAGCUUACUACGCAUAUAUUGACGCUGAGGCACGAAAGCGUGGGGAUCAAACAGGAUUAGAUACCCUGGUAGUCC
rnacentral:rRNA from 1 species